GGGGGGGGUCUAUACAUGCAGUCGAGCGAAUGGAUUAGAGAGCUUGCUCUUAUGAAGUUAGCGGCGGACGGGUGAGUAACACGUGGGUAACCUGCCCAUAAGACUGGGAUAACUCCGGGAAACCGGGGCUAAUACCGGAUAACAUUUUGAACCGCAUGGUUCGAAAUUGAAAGGCGGCUUCGGCUGUCACUUAUGGAUGGACCCGCGUCGCAUUAGCUAGUUGGUGAGGUAACGGCUCACCAAGGCAACGAUGCGUAGCCGACCUGAGAGGGUGAUCGGCCACACUGGGACUGAGACACGGCCCAGACUCCUACGGGAGGCAGCAGUAGGGAAUCUUCCGCAAUGGACGAAAGUCUGACGGAGCAACGCCGCGUGAGUGAUGAAGGCUUUCGGGUCGUAAAACUCUGUUGUUAGGGAAGAACAAGUGCUAGUUGAAUAAGCUGGCACCUUGACGGUACCUAACCAGAAAGCCACGGCUAACUACGUGCCAGCAGCCGCGGUAAUACGUAGGUGGCAAGCGUUAUCCGGAAUUAUUGGGCGUAAAGCGCGCGCAGGUGGUUUCUUAAGUCUGAUGUGAAAGCCCACGGCUCAACCGUGGAGGGUCAUUGGAAACUGGGAGACUUGAGUGCAGAAGAGGAAAGUGGAAUUCCAUGUGUAGCGGUGAAAUGCGUAGAGAUAUGGAGGAACACCAGUGGCGAAGGCGACUUUCUGGUCUGUAACUGACACUGAGGCGCGAAAGCGUGGGGAGCAAACAGGAUUAGAUUCUUUGUGUU
rnacentral:rRNA from 1 species